rnacentral:rRNA from 1 species
CCUACGGGAGGCAGCAGUGAGGAAUAUUGGUCAAUGGACGAGAGUCUGAACCAGCCAAGUAGCGUGAAGGAUGACUGCCCUAUGGGUUGUAAACUUCUUUUAUAUGGGAAUAAAAUGUUCACGUGUGGGAUUUUGUAUGUACCAUAUGAAUAAGGAUCGGCUAACUUCGUGCCAGCAGCCGAGGUAAAACGGAGGAUCCGAGCGUUAUCCGGAUUUAUUGGGGUUAAAGGGAGCGUAGGGGGAUUGUUAAGUCAGUUGUGAAAGUUGGCGGUUCAACCGUAAAAAUGCAGUUGAAACCGGUAGUCUUGAGUACAGUAGAGGUGGGCGGAAUUCGUGGUGUAGCGGUGAAAUGCUUAGAUAUCACGAAGAACUCCGAUUGCGAAGGCAGUUCACUGGACUGCAACUGACACUGAGGCUCGAAAGUGUGGGUAUCAAACAGGAUUAGAUACCCCAGUAGUC